GGCCCAGAUUCUACGGGAGGCAGCAGUGGGGAAUUUUGCACCAUUGGCGAAAGCCUGAUGCAGGGACCCCGCCUGAAGGAUAAAGGCCUUCGGGUUUUUAAACCUCUUUCAGCAAGGGAGAAGCGCAAGUGACGGUACCUGCAGAAGAAAGCGCCGGCUAAUUACGUGCCAGCAGCCGCGGUAAUACGUAGGGCGCAAGCGUUGUUCCGGAAUUAUUGGGCGUAAAGAGCUCGUAGGCGGUUUGUCGCGUCUGGUGUGAAAACUCGAGGCUCAACCUCGAGCUUGCAUCGGGUACGGGCAGACUAGAGUGCGGUAGGGGAGACUGGAAUUCCUGGUGUAGCGGUGGAAUGCGCAGAUAUCAGGAGGAACACCGAUGGCGAAGGCAGGUCUCUGGGCCGCAACUGACGCUGAGGAGCGAAAGCAUGGGGAGCGAACAGGAUUAGAUACCCUGGUAGUCCAUGCCGUAAACGUUGGGCACUAGGUGUGGGGCUCAUUCCACGAGUUCCGUGCCGCAGCAAACGCAUUAAGUGCCCCGCCUGGGGAGUACGGCCGCAAGGCUAAAACUCAAAGGAAUUGACGGGGGCCCGCACAAGCGGCGGAGCAUGCGGAUUAAUUCGAUGCAACGCGAAGAACCUUACCAAGGCUUGACAUGCACGAGAAGCCACCAGAGAUGGUGGUCUCUUUGGACACUCGUGCACAGGUGGUGCAUGGUUGUCGUCAGCUCGUGUCGUGAGAUGUUGGGUUAAGUCCCGCAACGAGCGCAACCCUCGUCCCAUGUUGCCAGCGGGUUAUGCCGGGGACUCAUGGGAGACUGCCGGGGUCAACUCGGAGGAAGGUGGGGAUGACGUCAAAUCAUCAUGCCCCUUAUGUCUUGGGCUUCACGCAUGCUACAAUGGCCGGUACAAAGGGCUGCGAUACCGUAAGGUGGAGCGAAUCCCAAAAAGCCGGUCUCAGUUCGGAUUGGGGUCUGCAACUCGACCCCAUGAAGUCGGAGUCGCUAGUAAUCGCAGAUCAGCAACGCUGCGGUGAAUACGUUCCCGGGCCUUGUACACACCGCCCGUCAAGUCACGAAAGUCGGUAACACCCGAAGCCCAUGGCCCAACCGUUCGCGGGGGGAGUGUCGAAAGUGAC
rnacentral:rRNA from 1 species